CCGCCUCUGUCUUUUCACUCCACCUUCACUGUUGAAGACACACAGAAUCAACAAAAUGAAUCAGGGACAUCCAGCUUCUCCGAUUCAGAGUUUCCCUCACCUCCUACAGAUCCAUCUUUAUCAGAUCAGGAGCUUCAGUACUCUUCCAUCCAGUACGACUGAGGGUCACUGAGCACAGAGAGUGAAGAAGGAGGGAAAUAAACUUCACAGUGUUGUAACAUUAACUGAGAGUUUGUUACCAUUCAGUAAAAACUGUAAUGCUUUGUAGAUAUUUACAAGAAUGUUAUCUGUCAAAUAAUUUUAAUAGGUGUUUGGUUGAAUAUUGAAUCACAUCAGCUGCACAGUAAACAUUUUGCCAUCUCUUCAACAAGUUAAACAACAGCAGUCACAGUUUGUCCACAUUGAUAUGUUUUAAAACCUCAGGUACAGCAUCUUUUAUUUGAACUGGCCUGGUUGCUGACUGGCCUGGCUGUUAUUAACAGUGAUAUGGUGCCAACGUUGUUGAAUUUAAUGAAGGAAUGUAGUGAAGAUGUAUGAUAAAGCGAGAAUAAAGCAGUAACCUAAAUAAAUAACUCUGCUGUUGGAGAAAAGGUUGUUGACUGUUAAAAGGUGUCUUAACCUGUCAGUUACAUGUUUUACAUGGUCUGUUAACUCUGUGUUUGUGUUCACAAUAAAAGUUGUCUUAUUUCA